rnacentral:rRNA from 1 species
GACAGAGGAUGCAAGCGUUAUCCGGAAUUAUUGGGCGUAAAGAGUACGUAGGCGGCUUAUCAAGUCAGGGGUUAAAUCCCGCAGCUUAACUGCGGAUCGGCCUUGAAACUGAUCGGCUAGAGUAUGGUAGGGGUAGAGGGAAUUCCCGGUGUAGCGGUGAAAUGCGUAGAUAUCGGGAAGAACACCUGUGGCGAAAGCGCUCUACUGGACCAUAACUGACGCUGAGGUACGAAAGCUAGUGGAGCGAAGGGG